rnacentral:rRNA from 1 species
UACCAGCACCCCGAGUGGUCGGGACGUUUAUUGGGCCUAAAGCAUCCGUAGCCGGUUCUACAAGUCUUCCGUUAAAUCCACCUGCUUAACAGAUGGGCUGCGGAAGAUACUAUAGAGCUAGGAGGCGGGAGAGGCAAGCGGUACUCGAUGGGUAGGGGUAAAAUCCGUUGAUCCAUUGAAGACCACCAGUGGCGAAGGCGGCUUGCCAGAACGCGCUCGGACGGUGAGGGAUGAAAGCUGGGGGAGCCAAACCGG